rnacentral:lncRNA from 1 species
AGCCAGAGUUGGCUAAACCUUGGGGGCUGUAUGAAUAGGGAAUCGAAACUCAUUCUUGACAUGACAGGCAUUCAUUCUAUCAGCAGGGAGGCAACCCCAGUUCCUACACUAAAACUUCUGAGACUCCAGAAGCCUCAAAGACUUGUGCCCUGGGUAGUGUAGUAAGCCAGGGAAGCUGCCAGGAGAGCCUUGAACCAGCCCAGCUGGACGUGGUCUCUGGGCCAGUCUGCAGGCGCCAUUGCUGCAGCCAGGACCCCAAGACCACUUCCAAACUGCAAUGGUGCAGACCGACUGAAGGGGUGUGGCUAGAGCAGUGCUCACUGCCACGCCCUCCUGUGCUUGGGUCUCCCUUCAUGGUCAGGGUGGGGCCAGUGUCACCCACCCCACAGGGCUGUUGUGGUAAGAUGACCUGGACAGCCUAAUGAGGUCUUACAGGCGGGAAGCAGGCUUCUGUGUGUGAGAGCAGUGUGCGCUAAUGUGUGUCCAGAAAACGUUCUGCCAGCCUGGAAGUAAUUUAUUUUUAGAUUUUUAUGGCUUAGUCUUUUGUUGCUCUAUAUACCAAAGAGGCUUACGGGUUUGCCAGUUAGCGUGUGAGGCCAGUUGGCUCAGGAGCCGCCCUCCUGCCCACCCAGGAACAAGGCGAGCUCUGUGGCAGCGAUGCUGUUGUCCACACCAAGCUGCCCAGGCAGAAGUACCCUGGUGGGACAUCAGAUUUCAGUUCUGAAAUAUGAGUGGAGACAGACCACACUUCCUGUAGCCUACCCGACUCACUAGGCUGCAGACGGAGGGAUGGAUUCUUGGCAGCCAUACUUCGCUCUUUCUCAAUGCAUCUAAGCUCGGCUGCCUCCAGCCUCCCAUUCCCCUUGAGGGCCAUGAAGCUGUCUUGUUGAUGGAUGGAGAGUAGCUAAUGACAGCCCUUGGCAUUGUGGGUGGUAAGGCUGGACGUUACACUUGAUAUCACCUUCCACCUGCCAGAGGCCAGAAAGGCCAGCCUUAUGCCAGGCCCAGAGAGAGGGAGCCCAGCCUUAUGCCAGGCCCAGAGAGAGGGAGCCCAGCCUUGGGUCUCUUGGUGAGAUGCUGCGUGGUACCUUAGGAGUUAGGAGUCCUGAGGUUGCAUUCUUUAAAGAGCACGCCAAGGAUGUGGGUGGUGGAAGACCAGGCCACCCUUCUGACACUCCCAGGAUGCAGUUGGUAAUCCACAAGGGAAUAUGAGUGUUAGCAUUCUGUCUAAGCUCCACCCCGCAGUUACCUGGCACCAGCCAGGUGUGCCUGACUCACUAUAAAAGGGGCUGCUUGCCCCCUCCUCACUUUGUGUCUCUCUUGUUUUUCUUCCCUUCUUGCUCCCUCUCUCUCCCCAUUCCCUCCCCCCCCCCUUAUGUGCUCAUGACUGGCCUCUCCCCUCACCCCCUGCCUGAUAUAAACUCUAGUCUAUACUACACUGUCCUGUGGCUGGUCCCUCAGGGGGGGAGGG